rnacentral:rRNA from 1 species
GUCUGACGCGAUCGCAUGGGCGUUGAUGAUGGCUGGUCAAAUCAUCUUUUGUUAAGAGAGGGAUUAAGCGGGUCGUUGGGGACAUGUAAAAAAGAAAAAUAUCAAUCAAUGGCACCGCAUGGUCCUCUGCCGUUGCAAUUUCUCGUUCAGUGUUGCAGAAUAGAUUGAGCAAGCCGAUGGGAUAAUAGAUCGAUGAAAAAUCGUCCAGUAUUGCAAUUAGUUCUUCCUAAUCCGUUUUUCCUGUAAAGAAUCAAAACACAUGGAGAGGCCAAGAUCCGUCUUGCCUUCUCAUAACAGCAAUCAAUCGGAGGAGGAUCCGGCAGGCG